AAUGUUCCCUUCAUCUUUGUCUUUUCAUUUACACCACAAACAGGCUUAUAAACAGUUUCGCAACGACAUUCUCCCAUCACAUUAGAAACUUCUGAAAAUUUUUAAUUAAAAAAUUUUUUUGAAAAUUUACUCAAGAAGAAUAAAUUUUGACUGUUUUCUUCACUUUUUACCUGAAGAAAUUAGGAGAAUAAAUACAAAGAAUGCAACGAGAGAAGACUUCAUUUUAAAAUUGUAUUUUAAAAUUAUUUUAAAACGUCUGAUUGUUGAGGUGAAAGUUAGAGAACUAAAAUAAGUUGAUGAAUAAAUUUUCCUGUGCCCCGAAAAGCUAGGAAAGUUGCUUGAACUUUAACACAAUUUUCUUCAGCUAUUUAAACAUGUGCAGAAAUAAUUUAAAUAACUUUUUGUUAAAGAAAUAAUAUUCUUUCUUAUCUAAAUAGUGGAGUAGAGCAAGAAAAUAAAACACCCAUUGUCAAAGAAAAAAAAGAACAAGAGUGCAAAAAGAAAACUUUUUAUUUGUCUUUUUUGGCGGGAUUAUGAAAAAAAAAUGAGAAAAAAAUAGAUAAAUUGUCUUUUAAUGAUUUAUGUUGAAUUAACUACAUAAAAAAGUAUCUCACUGGAUAUUCUUCUUCUGAAUUCCUUACUGGAAUUCAUUUAACGAUGAGCAAAAAAUGUGCUGAAAUUAAUUAAAUUUAAAUUACAACUGUUUAAAUAAAAACAUCUGAAUGACGUAAAAUAGCUAAACUUCCUGAAAUGAAUCACUUUUGGGGUUUUUGGAUUAAAAAUUAUUCUCUCAACUUCAUCAGUCUAAUCUGCUCAACGCUUAUCGACAGACGUGUAUCAUUUUUCGUGAAAGAAAAUCUUGAAAAUGAAGUUCUUUGCUGCAUUUCUAAUUUGUAUUUUCUUCAUUUCAUUGGGUAAGAAAAAAGCGAAAUAAGUGGUAAAAAGUUUAAUUUAAUUUAAAUGAUUUUUUAUUAAAUUUUCUGUAGAAAUGAAUGAAAUUGUAGCUCAAUGCCCAAGAUGUGCAACUCAUUACAAACCAAUUUGUGCUGAGAACGAAAAGACGAAGGAAAGGCAGAACUUUCAAAAUGAUUGUUUCCUCUUAGGGCAAAAUUGCUAUAGUGACGAUAAGUAUGUUAAACUCCACGAUGGAGAGUGCGAUCUUGACAGAUAUACUGCAGAGUGAAAAGAAUUAAUGAGAAAUAUUAAAAAAAUAUUUUUUAAAAGUAUAGUGGAGAAAAAAGAAAUUUAUUCAUUGAGAGUUUAUUCAUUGUGACGCUCUCAUUGCAAUUAUAUGGUGUAUUUUUUUCUUAAUAUUAUUGAGGAAGACUUAAAAAUGAAUAAAGUUCUUAAAAUAAAAUCUGAUUUAAAAAAAUCUGAAA